rnacentral:rRNA from 1 species
AGUGAACGCUGGCGGUAGGCCUAACACAUGCAAGUCGAACGGCAGCACAGUAAGAGCUUGCUCUUACGGGUGGCGAGUGGCGGACGGGUGAGGAAUACAUCGGAAUCUACUUUUUCGUGGGGGAUAACGUAGGGAAACUUACGCUAAUACCGCAUACGACCUACGGGUGAAAGCAGGGGAUCUUCGGACCUUGCGCGAUUGAAUGAGCCGAUGUCGGAUUAGCUAGUUGGCGGGGUAAAGGCCCACCAAGGCGACGAUCCGUAGCUGGUCUGAGAGGAUGAUCAGCCACACUGGAACUGAGACACGGUCCAGACUCCUACGGGAGGCAGCAGUGGGGAAUAUUGGACAAUGGGCGCAAGCCUGAUCCAGCCAUACCGCGUGGGUGAAGAAGGCCUUCGGGUUGUAAAGCCCUAUUGUUGGGAAAGAAAAGCAGCGGGUUAAUACCCCGCUGUUCUGACGGUACCCAAAGAAUAAGCACCGGCUAACUUCGUG